rnacentral:lncRNA from 1 species
GAACCAGUAACCGUGUUGCCUGUGUGAGCUAAAAGCUCCUCACGAAAGACCGUUGUUUAUUAUUCGGUCAGUGGAUUUCCACUCAGUAAUUAUAUUUAAAACAAUAUAGUUAAAAUAAUCAUCUAAUGCAAUUGCGCAACUUUACAAUCCACCAAAACCAGGUCGUACUUGUUCGAGACAGUGAACUGAGACACGUGGAGUUGUUGCGAUAUAACGGGGAUCUGGCAACCCAGUGAAGGCGAAGCGCUUUGAUGUGAUACAGUUGUGGUGAGCGCAGCGGCAAGACGUUCAGAGUGUCGCAUUUUAAAGCGGUGAAUGGAACAGCUUAAGCGAAUGGCACGACUGUGCGUUGGUCCUCGACUACAAAGAGUUCUUAUGUAACCACUCAUCGUCUAUCGUGACGGAUCUACUGCACAAGGCCUGAUGGAUUCAGGUACUCAACGAGAGCUGCGUACAGCAGAUCCCAGCCUCCACUCGCUUCGUCACGGCCAGUCCUGAGUAUCGGGCAUUCACCUCAACAUCACCUUUCCUUUUUCUGCUUCUUUCCCAUCUCACUUCACCCCUGGCUCCCUCGACCACGCCCUCCAGCCUCGCCUACCAAGAUGAUUGGACAAGCUAGAAACAGUAAUUUACAAACAAUACACACACACACACACACACACAAAGUAUUAAUGGAUGUGUGCACUCAUAUGUUUUCAAGGUGUAAGGAAAAUAUAUUUGAAAAGACUAUAUACAUGACAUUUUUAGAGUCAUUAAAUUUUACAUUUCUUAGAAAUGUUCUAAAACAAUAAAAACGAAACACACCAAACCCACAUGAAUUCAAAGAAUAGACUUCUAAGAAUGUGUGUGUUUAGGUCAUUACCUUUAAAAUAGACACUCCUGUUUGUCAUUGACCCACACGUGCGUUAAUCUUAUGAGGUUGAGUGAAUGAUCUGUUCUGUUGUGUUUCAGGCCUGAUGGAUUCAGGUACUCAACGAGAGCUGCGUACAGCAGAUCCCAGCCUCCACUCGCUUCGUCACGGCCAGUCCUGAGUAUCGGGCAUUCACCUCAACAUCACCUUUCCUUUUUCUGCUUCUUUCCCAUCUCACUUCACCCCUGGCUCCUCGACCAG